rnacentral:misc_RNA from 1 species
GAUGAAGAACGUAGCGAAAUGCGAUACGUAAUGUGAAUUGCAGAAUUCAGUGAAUCAUCGAAUCUUUGAACGCAUAUUGCGCUCUUUGGUAUUCCGAAGAGCAUGCUUGUUUGAGUAUCAGUAAACACCUCAACCUCUUCUUGAUUUUUCAAAAGGAGGGUGGACUUGAGCUAUCCCAACAACCUUUACCGGUCGGCGGGCGGCUUGAAAUGCAGGUGCAGCUGGACUUUUAUCUGAGCUAAAAGCAUAUCUAUUUAGUCCUCGUCAAACAGGAUUAUUACUUUUGCUGCAGCUAACAUAAAGGAUAAUUGUCCUCUUUGCUGACUGAUGCAGGAUUUUACGACACUUUAUGUGUUGUUCAACUCGAUCUCAAAUCGAGUAAGACUUCCCGCUGAACUUAAGCAUAUCAAUAAGCGGAGGA